rnacentral:rRNA from 1 species
UGUAAGCGUAUACCAAAGUUGUUGCAGUUAAAACGCUCGUAGUCGGAAUUUGGCAGUUCCGGAUGUGUGCACGUCGUGUGCGCACUUCGCGGGGAUUGCUUUUGUGGUCUUGCGUAGGAUGAGGCACUUUUAUUAGUGAACGUCCGCACGCUGCCACUUUUUACUGUGAGAAAAUCAGAGUGCUCAAAGCAGGCAUUUGCCGUGAAUGUAUUAGCAUGGAAUAAUAGAAUAGGACUCGGUUCUAUUUUGUUGGUUUGUUGGGACUGAGUAAUGAUUAAGAGGGACAGUUGGGGGCAUUUGUAUUUCGGCGCUAGGGGUGAAAUUCUUAGAUUGCCGAAAGACAAACUGCUGCGAAAGCGUCUGCCAAGGAUGUUUUCAUUGA